rnacentral:ncRNA from 1 species
CGAAAGAGGUGCGGUGUCCAUCAGUAGCCUCCGGCAGGGCAGGCAGCCGCCGGAGGGGAAAGGGGCCACCGCCGAAGCGUCGGUCCCCGUGCCUGCGGGGCCGCCGCUGGGGUCAUGGAGAAGAUCCAUGGCACUGUCACGGAGGGUAAGACGUGGAGCGCUGUCG